rnacentral:rRNA from 1 species
GACGUAGGGCGCGAGCGUUGUCCGGAUUUAUUGGGCGUAAAGGGCUCGUAGGCGGUUUGUCGCGUCGGGAGUGAAAUCCACUGGCUUAACUGGUGGCUUGCUUUCGAUACGGGCAGACUGGAGGUAUGCAGGGGAGAACGGAAUUCCUGGUGUAGCGGUGAAAUGCGCAGAUAUCAGGAAGAACACCCGUGGCUAAGGCGGCUCUCUAGUACGGUACUGACGCUGAGACGCGAAAAGCGUGGGGAGCGAACAGG